UACGUAGGGUGCGAGCGUUGUCCGGAAUUACUGGGCGUAAAGAGCUCGUAGGUGGUUUGUCGCGUUGUUCGUGAAAACCGGGGGCUUAACCCUCGGCGUGCGGGCGAUACGGGCAGACUUGAGUACUGCAGGGGAGACUGGAAUUCCUGGUGUAGCGGUGGAAUGCGCAGAUAUCUGGAGGAACACCGGUGGCGAAGGCGGCAUCCUGGACCGGUAUUGACGCUGAGGCGCGAAAGCUAGGGGAGCAAACGGG
rnacentral:rRNA from 1 species